GAUCAUGGGCUCAGGACGAACGCUGGCGGCGUGCCUAACACAUGCAAGUCGAACGGAGAUGUUUAUUUCGGUAGACAUCUUAGUGGCGCACGGGUGAGUAACGCGUGAAUAACCUGACCCGAAGAGGGGGAUAACACCUGGAAACAAGUGCUAAUACCGCAUAAGACCACGGACCGGCAUCGGUCAGAGGUCAAAGGAGAAAUCCGCUUUGGGAGGGUUCGCGUCCCAUUAGGUAGUUGGUGAGGUAACGGCCCACCAAG
rnacentral:rRNA from 1 species